AGCGCUUUGCUCUCUGAGAUCCAGCACAUUAGUGAAAGCAGCUGAGUAGCGAACACUUUCUCAGCGCUUUAGAAGUAAAUUCAGUCAACUGCUGCUCGACAAAACACAAAGGUGUCUCUUUACGGCUGUCGCGUCUGUUGCUAGAGACCAAAACCGCUACGAGAGAGAAACGAGGCAACGCUCCACAUCCGCGCUCCUGCUCUUCCUGUUGAUGAAGAUUCAUAAUUCUGGCAUCCUCACAGAUAACAUCUAUUAAAGGCAGCUCCUCCAUUUGGGAAUCAUGGUGCCAGGAGUGCUUAAGCUCUAUGGCAUUGUAACAGGGCUCUAUGUUCUUGCGUUUUUUUAUGGCAUAGUGGACUCCUUUGGUGGUCUCAUGUACAGCCCGGACUACCGCUACAUACUGGAGCCGGAACAAACUCAGAGACAGUCAUCCUUGAGCAACGACCCCCGAAGACCAUCUAUGACUAAAAACAUUGGCUCAUAAAGGGCUUGUAAUGUAUUUGUUGUAUCCUUACCUUUAGGAAAGGCAUUGCGCACUUGUUCUGUCUGUGAACCCCAGAUCAUGUUUCUGUUUGCUCAUCUCCUGUCAAAACAAUGUUGCAGCUAAUAUAGAGUAACUACAAAAUCUUGGACUAAUGUUACUGCACUACUGAAUAAUGAUUUGCACUAAACCUUUUGUUUCUUGGA